rnacentral:tRNA from 1 species
GGAGGGGAGGGCUCAGAGGUAGAGCGUGCGCUUUCCAUGCACAAGGCCCUGCCUGGGCUCAAUCCCCGGCACCUCCA